UGCGUAGGCGGCCUUUUAAGUCAGCGGUGAAAGUCUGUGGCUCAACCAUAGAAUUGCCGUUGAAACUGGGGGGCUUGAGUAUGUUUGAGGCAAGCGGAAUGCGUGGUGUAGCGGUGAAAUGCAUAGAUAUCACGCAGAACCCCGAUUGCGAAGGCAGCCUGCCAAGCCAUUACUGACGCUGAUGCACGAAAGCGUGGGAUCAAACA
rnacentral:rRNA from 1 species